rnacentral:sRNA from 1 species
GUUGGACUUGCUGCUUUUGCCUGUGUCCUGUUGGUGGUUCUCUUCAUCAUGAUCAACAAAUAUGGUCGACGGUCCAAAUUUGGAAUGAAGGGUGAGCUGUCUUGACUGGGCUGAUGCUGGGCUGCCAGGAAAAAGAACAUGCAUAGCUCCGUAUUGGCCCAUGAUGGCUUCCUGCUGUGGCCCAGCCAGCACUGCCCGCUUGCCCUCUCUUGCUCCUCAGCCUGGCAGUCCUUAUCAGCCUCUCCCCCAAAAGCCAGGUUGCCAAACCUCUCAGCCUUCAAGUGCCCACCAUACCUCUGCCCUCUUGCUACCACUUCCCUGAAUUCUUCAAACCAACGGUGUCUCAUCAAAUUGUGCAUUAACUGUGUUACAAUAAGAAUAAACUGUGUUUAUUUCUA